ACAGCCUGCAGAGCAGAGGAGGUACAACCCUCCUCCUCCCAGCUGAACUCCAGUGAUGUCUUCCUGCUGGUCUCCCCCUCUGGAUGCUGGGUGUGGGUGGGGGGAAGCAGCACCUCCGCUGAGGAAAACGGGGCGGAGCAACUGGCCGUGAUCCUGCAGGUGACCCCCGACCCUCUGAGGGAGGGGGGGGAGACAGAUGCAUUCUGGGAAGCUUUGGGGGGUCAGGAGGAAUACUGUCGCACCCCCCGCCUGAAGAACAAGAUGGACGCUCACCCCCCCCGUCUGUUCGCCUGCUCCAACAAGACCGGGAACUACCAGGUACCUGUCUGUCUGUCUGUCUGUCUCUCU